AUUUUGCGUGAGGGAUGGAAGCGACAUCCUUUUCUUUGGUUUCGGCGGCAAAGCCGCCGAAACCAAAGAAAAGAUAAAGCGGACAGCCCGACCUGAA
rnacentral:sRNA from 1 species